rnacentral:rRNA from 1 species
AGCUCCGGCUAACUACGUGCCAGCAGCCGCGGUAAUACUUACGGAGCGAGCGUUAUCCGGAAUUAUUGGGCGUAAAGAGUGCGUAAGCGGUUUACUAAGUCUGAUGUGAAAGCCCCCGGCUUAACCGGGGAGGGUCAUUGGAAACUGGUAAACUUGCUUACGGUACAGGCAAGUGGAAUUCCAUGUGUAACGGUAAAAUGCGUAAAUAUAUGGAGGAACACCAGUGGCGAAGGCGGCUUGCUGGGCUGGAACUGACGCUGAGGCACGAAAGCGUGGGGAGCAAACAGGAUUAAAUACCCUGGUAGUCCACGCCGUAAACGAUGGGCACUAAGUGUUGGCAGAGAUGUCAGUGCUGUAGUUAACGCAUUAAGUGCCCCGCCUGGGGAGUACGGUCGCAAGACUGAAACUCAAAGGAAUUGACGG